CCUACGGGCGGCAGCAGUGAGGAAUAUUGGUCAAUGGGCGCGAGCCUGAACCAGCCAAGUAGCGUGAAGGAUGACUGCCCUACGGGUUGUAAACUUCUUUUAUAAAGGAAUAAAGUGAGGCACGUGUGCCUUGGUGGAUGGACUUUAUGAAUAAGGAGCGGCUAACGCCGUGCCAGCAGCCGCGGUAAUACGGAGGAUCCGAGCGUUAUCCGGAGUUAGUGGGUUUAAAGGGAGCGUAGAUGGGUUGUUAAGUCAGUUGUGAAAGUUUGCGGCUCAACCGUAAAAUUGCAAUUGAUACUGGCAGUCUUGAGUACCGUUGCGGUAGGCGUAAUUCGUGGUGUAGCG
rnacentral:rRNA from 1 species